rnacentral:rRNA from 1 species
AUACGGAGGGUGCGAGCGUUGUUCGGAAUUAUUGGGCGUAAAGAGCAUGUAGGCGGUCUGUUAAGUCUGGUGUGAAAGCCCGGGGCUCAACCCCGGAAGUGCAUCGGAUACUGGCAGACUUGAGUAUGGGAGAGGAAAGCGGAAUUCCGAGUGUAGGAGUGAAAUCCGUAGAUAUUCGGAGGAACACCAGUGGCGAAGGCGGCUUUCUGGACCAAUACUGACGCUGAGAUGCGAAAGCGUGGGGAGCAAACAGGAUUAGAAACCCCGGUAGUCC